rnacentral:misc_RNA from 1 species
GGACGGACGGACACCAUUGACUGCCAUACUCCGAUCGAUCGAACGAACGAACACGGUCUUAUUUCGGUAGCAGAUCGAUCAAAUUAUUAGCUAGAGUAGAAGCAGAGCAGACGCGACGACGAUGGCAAUGCAAUGCAGCUCCCCCUCCCCGGAAUCUACCAGGGGAGGAUCUUCCAGCGCUGGUUGUCACCCUCGCACCACUUCCACAGCACGAUCUCGGUGCCAUCGUGGAUGCCGCCGUGAUCCUUGUCGCCAUGGAAGGCGUCGAAGUUGAGGUAGAUGUUGUUCACCAUGCGGAUGCAGCGGAAGCCCUUGCCCACAUCCUUGCUCUCCGUCCACAGCACAGACUCGUCCUGGUACUCUGGGUUGUAGGGAACCAGCUUCACCGGGUGGCCCUGUCCGGUGGAGUGCUUGAUGGCUUCGCCGGUGACCUUGUUGACCAGCGCGAACGCCGGGUAGCCUUCCUCGUCCCUGAUCUUGUUGCUGUGCCUCAUGUCCUUGAUCCAGUGCUGGUAGUCGUCCCUGG